AUAUAUGCAGAUUUCUUACUUGUAUGUCUUCUAAGAGUUACUACGUUAACUGUACAUUAUUCAGUAUUAUUCAGAAUACCAGUGAUAUUUCACUGUAUUAGCAGAUUGGGAGAGAACUAAUAAUGCUUUUAAAAAUUAAAUAAUUAAAACGAGAGCUGUGAGACUAAAUGCCAUUAUGAAAAUGCAUUCUAAUAAAAUUAGUUCAGUCUGGUAUUUGAAAGGUUGUUUGCUCUCAUGAAUAUUCACGCAAGCUGCAUUUUUCUUAGCAAUAACAUUCCUUAAAAAUUUAAAAUUAAUCAUGCCAAUAUUUGUUUGCCCUGAAAGUCCUGUGAAUUCUCAGACGACUGUGUUUGCAUGAAUUUUCACUUGUGACAAAACUUACUCAAGUCCUUUUCCUUUUUCUUAUGUGUGGUUGGAUGACAGAGACAACCAAAUGAAUAAAUACCCUGGGAUUUAAGAAGUUAGCAGCACUGUACAAACAGCACAUUGCAAGUAAAGAAUGCCAAAAGCAAGGGUGGCCUGAGACAGUUAAUGAGCAAGCUAUGGUCAAGAAUAUGAUCACAUAAAAUCCUUUCUAAAUAAUGUUAGCUAGAAUAAUUUGCAGAAAUUAAAUCAAAUUAUUCCUAAGGCCAAGUAGCAAACACAAAAAGAAGGGACUUUUAUUAAAUUAAUUGUUCAGCCACCGAUAACUAAAAACUGAAAUAGUGUCCAUUUCUCAUUUCCUGAAAUAGUUUAUCCCUGCCUUAGGAUGAUGAACUCCUUUGCUGUAACCUGUGUGGUAUGAGCAACAGAUUGCCUUAACGCAUUACUAACAGACAUCAAGAAACGGUUUUUAAUAAACUUAAAACAUUCAUGACAAGCUGUUUAUAAUUAUCACAAAAAUUUAAUUGUUUCCUAUGUGAUAAAGCCUUAAUUCUUGCAAACAGUAUGCCUGGAAGUAGUAUCAAUAUUAGGCUGCUGCUUUGCUUUGGUCUUAGAGUGAGAGUGUGCACACAGGUUUUUGGUGCCCUAGGAACUAAAAUCAAUGUUGAAAUAAACCACAGUCAGCAAAGGAUCUGGAACAGGGACUUUGAAAAGCCAGAACUGGAAUUGGUGUCUUGUGAUUUGCUUUUAGAGUCACACUUUUCUCCACUACAGCUUUUCUGGAGUUCAUAUAUAAAUGCAGUGGGUAUUCCUCUAACCCUUUAUUAUGUUAUAGCCAAGAUAAGUAGCUUGAUGGUUAUUAGGUGAUAACCUGCAUGAUUAUUAGGUGAUCACACAGCUUGUGUUGUAAACAGCUUCCAGAAAUGAAUAUGAAAGAAAGCCUUUUCACCAAUAAUAUGUAAUCAGGGGAAGAAGAGGAAGGAGUGAAGAGGAAGGGGGCCAUAUGUGUUCAUGAGGAAAUGAGGGUUAACUGAAGAUUCACCCACAGAAAAGCCAUAUG